AUAUACUGGGACAGCCAUUUCCAGGGACAGGGCCCUAAACUACUAGCCAGGUUAUGAGACAGAGUUCCCAGCUGGAUUACUGAGCUAUGAGACAGAGUUCCCAGCUGGAUUACUGAGCUAUGAGACAGAGUUCCCAGCUGGAUUACUGAGCUAUGAGACAGAGUUCCCAGCUGGAUUAGUGAGCUAUGAGACAGAGUUCCCAGUUGGAUCAUUGAGCUAUGAGACAGAGUUCCCAGCUGGAUUAGUGAGCUAUGAGACAGAGUUCCCAGCUGGAUCACUGAGCUAUGAGACAGAGUUCCCAGCUGAAUCACUGAGCUAUGAGACAGAGUUUAAGUCUGUAUUCAAGGUGUGGAGCCCAGAGAGCCAGGAGUGCAGUAGUCUCUGACAGUACACAGGAUGCAGAGAAGGGACCAGGCAGUGUAUCUGUUUGCUGCCAGUCAACCAGUGAAGCAGGUUUACUGCAACUCUGUGACACAAUCACAUUUUGGGAGGCUGCCAAGGAGGCAUUAUCUGGCACCUGACUGAUCUGGCCCUCUAUGUGAAGAUACUGUAGGCAAGAUGUCUAUCUGACAGGGGGAGGAACAGUCUGGCAGGAUGUCUAUCUGACAGGGGGAGGCACAGUCUGGCAGGAUGUCUAUCUGACAGGGGGAGGAACAGCCUAGCAGGAUGUCUAUCUGACAGGGGGAGGAAUAGCCUGGCAGGAUGUCUAUCUGACAGGAUGAGGAACAGCCUGGCAGGAUGUCUAUCUGACAGGGGGAGGAACAGCCUAGCAAGAUGUCUAUCCGACAGGGGGAGGCACAGCCCAGACAUUAUAACAGUUUUCAAGAGGAUGUGGUGAUGAAUUCAUCUCUCUCUCUCUACCCUGCUGUAGAAGGCAGCUGGUACUUUCAGUACAGUGUAGAAAGAUGUCUCCGACAACAUGUUGUCUAGGCCUUUUCUUCAUCUUAUUUCCAUGUCAUGUAAAGUGUGUUGUGUUUCGUCAGUCUCCGUCCCUGACAGUGAAGGACGGGCGCGAAGCAGAGAUCCACUGUAGCCAUGAUGACAGUAACCUGUUGGUGAUGCUGUGGUACCAACAGAGACAGGCCAGUAUGACUCUGAUCGGGUACAGUUACGGCACCACUGAGCCUAACUACGAGGGUUUGUUUGAGGAGAGGUUCAGGCAGAAGAGAGAGGGAAACCUGAAGGGAACUCUCGUCAUCUCCAAACUAACAUUAGCAGACUCUGCUGUGUACUUCUGCGCAGCCAGUCGCACAGUGAUGUGGCUUUACGUCAGCCUCUCACCAAAAACCUGACACACACACACAGGAA